GACGAACGCUGGCGGCGUGCCUAAUACAUGCAAGUUGAGCGCUGAAGGUUGGUACUUGUACCGACUGGAUGAGCAGCGAACGGGUGAGUAACGCGUGGGGAAUCUGCCUUUGAGCGGGGGACAACAUUUGGAAACGAAUGCUAAUACCGCAUAAAAACUUUAAACACAAGUUUUAAGUUUGAAAGAUGCAAUUGCAUCACUCAAAGAUGAUCCCGCGUUGUAUUAGCUAGUUGGUGAGGUAAAGGCUCACCAAGGCGAUGAUACAUAGCCGACCUGAGAGGGUGAUCGGCCACAUUGGGACUGAGACACGGCCCAAACUCCUACGGGAGGCAACAGUAGGGAAUCUUCGGCAAUGGACGAAAGUCUGACCGAGCAACGCCGCGUGAGUGAAGAGGGUUUUCGGAUCGUAAAACUCUGUUGGUAGAGAAGAACGUUGGUGAGAGUGGAAAGCUCAUCAAGUGACGGUAACUACCCAGAAAGGGACGGCUAACUACGUG
rnacentral:rRNA from 1 species